AGCAGCCGUGGUAAUUCCAGCUCCAAUAGCGUAUAUUAAAGUUGCUGCAGUUAAAAAGCUCGUAGUUGAAUUUCGGGACCAUCAUGUCGGUCGUGCCUUGGUACGUACUGGCAUUGUUAGUUUCUACCUUCUGACGAACCAUGAUGACAUUUAUUUGGUGUUGUGGGAAAUCAGGACUGUUACUUUGAAAAAUUAGAGUGUUUAAAGCAGGCUCACGCUUGAAUA
rnacentral:rRNA from 1 species